rnacentral:rRNA from 1 species
GUGUCAGCAGCCGCGGUAAGACAGAGGGUGCGAACGUUGUUCGGAAUUACUGGGCGUAAAGCGCGUGUAGGCUGCUCCGCAAGUCGGGUGUGAAAGCCCGGGGCUCAACCCCGGAAGUGCACUCGAAACUGCAGAGCUGGAGUCUUGGAGAGGGAAGCGGAAUUCUGGGUGUAGAGGUGAAAUUCGUAGAUAUCCAGAGGAACACCGGUGGCGAAGGCGGCUUCCUGGACAAGUUACUGACGCUGAGACGCGAAAGCGUGGGGAGCAAACAGGAUUAGAAACCCCCGUAGUCC